rnacentral:tRNA from 1 species
GCGCCUGUAGCUCAGCUGGAUAGAGCAGCGGCCUUCUAAGCCGCAGGCCAUAGGUUCGAGUCCUAUCAGGCGCG